UACAUCAUAACACAAGACAUGAGAUAUAUCAGUUCUUCCUUAUACAAUACAUCAUAACACAAGACAUGAGAUAUAUCAGUUCUUCCUUACACAAUACAUCAUAACACAAGACAUGAGAUAUACCAGUUCUUCCUUACACAAUACAUCAUAACACAAGCCAUGAGAUAUAUCAGUUCUUCCUUACACAAUACAUCAUAACACAAAACACGAGAUAUAUCAGUUCUUCCUAACACAAUACAUUAUAACACAUGACAUGAUAUAUAUCAGUUCUUCCUAACACAAUACAUCAUAACACAAGACAUGAGAUAUAUCAGUUCUUCCUUACACAAUACAUCAUAACACAAGACAUGAGAUAUAUCAGUUCUUCCUUACACAAUACAUCAUAACACAAG
rnacentral:lncRNA from 1 species